rnacentral:sRNA from 1 species
AUAGCGGCCGCGGGCGGCGGCGGCGGCAGCAGCGGUUGGAGGUUGCAGGGCCGGCGAGGAGGAGAAGUCAUGGCGGCUGCGCUGUUCGUGCUGCUGGGAUUCGCGCUGCUGGGCGCCCACGGAGCCUCCGGGGCUGCCGGCACAGUCUCCACUUCCAUAGAAAACACUGGCUCCAAGACACUCCUCACCUGCUUCUUGAAUGACAGCACCACAGAGGUCACCGGGCACCGCUGGCUGAAAGGGGGCGUGGUGCUGAAGGAGGACAUGCUGCCCGACCGGAAAACGGACUUCGAGUGAGUACCUGACGCGAUGCCGCCACCUGCGCCUUCUCACAGCUCUCUUGCAGCCAACGGCCUGUGGUCUGUGAGAACAAAAGACUGGUCGGCAGCCUUGAUCCAGGCGGAAGUUACGGACCAGCUCUGCGCAGACCCCCAGAGGGAAACCCCAGGGAGGGGUCUGAGGGGCGUCCUUGUGAGCCAGGUGGCUCCAGCAGCCCUGACAGGAGUCCCUGUUGCUCCUCACUAGGUCCUGGGCACGAAAGGGCGCCACACUGCCAGGUCCCGGGCACGCAUGCAGACCUCCCAGGCUCUGUGCUCUUGGCACAAGAGGG